AAUUAACACAUCUUAUUUCCGAUAACAGUGAAAUACGUGUGAAAAAUUUGUUUUGUUUUUAAUUUCAUUAAAUUCCAAACUGUCAACAACAUCUUUUGAAUUCUUUUGAGGCGAAACAAAAACAAUCACUUUGGACUGAGUGGCUGGAAACCAGUAUUUGACGCACAUACACAUACUCUCUCUCGUUAGCUCUCAUGUACCGCCAAAGUUGUGAAGAUUAUUUCAAUUACCAG